CACUAAAGAUCCAGCGCAGUCACCUAUCCACUAAACAGCAACUUCAAUGUUGAAAGAUUUUUCAACAUUGAAGUUGCUGUUUAGUGGAUAGGUGAGUGCGCUGGAUCUUGUGUAU